ACGCUCCGCUUUCUUAGUCAAGUACUUAAUCGUCUUCAUAAUUUCCGUCAAUUUGGUGUGACUUUCUUGCUUGGGAAUCAUCUUCUUUUUACAGAUGAAAUACUGGUAACGCAUACGGAAAUCAUAGGCAGCGAUCCAUCCGUUACAUCACAAAACCUUCGAAUUGAUCGAAACUCUUAUAUAGAAAGAGAUGUCAUUGAUCUUGGUUUUCCUUAAACCCCAUUUUUGUUGAUAUGGUAUAAACCAUCUUCUGAUUCUCCUAUUAGCCUCCAAUUACUCCUCAACAUAUUGCUUGUUGGGACCAAGAGAGAACGUUAUCAUCAUCAACCAUCUACAAGUCUAGUUCAUCUCCACUGCCUUGUUAUUAAAAUUCCUUAUGUCGAGGCCAUGAGAGAUCGUUUCCACCGUCUUCCUCUUUGCAGGAGAGAACUCUUCCAUCGUCACCACCUUCCUUAAAGUUUUAGCUUUUAUGUCAUUGCAUCGGUGUUGCAAGUUCAACCCCUGUUUGUGAAGGAUGGUUUACAGAGGCUUUUUUCUAUGUUCUUUUCAAAGGUGUUGAUUGCUUGAGUGUUAGGAUUGUUCUUGCCUAUCUUUUAUCUUCUGCUUAUGUAUUAUUUGCUUGGCGUUUGCUUUCGUACUUCGGAUGGGUCCGUUUGCGACUCUUUCUUUUGAAAUCAUUUAAGUUUAAUGAAGAAUUUGUGUAGACAAAAAAAAAAACAAAUUGUUGGGGUAAAAAAAGAAGCCAUUUUCCCACUUCAAU